rnacentral:misc_RNA from 1 species
UACUCCGGUAGGCCGAUAGAGUACACACAGACCGGAUUUGAUAGAAGCUAUACUCUCAAGCCAUAUAGCAACAGAACAGUUGGAUUUUAUCCUUAACCGUGCAAUCUCAAUCUGCUUGUAGUUGAACAUGUCAGGGAAGAAGCUGAUCAACAAGGUUGAGGAUGUGGUCGACGAGGCUCUGGACGGAUUAACCAUGAUUAAUCCUGGAAUCAGGAGAAUAAAAGGACAGAGGGUUCUACUACGUGAGACGGUUGACAAGAAGAAAGUGGCAAUUCUCUCAGGCGGAGGAUCUGGGCAUGAACCCUUCUGUGCCGGAUAUAUCGGGACAGGUAUGCUGACCGCUGGAGUAGCUGGCGGAGUAUUCGCCUCUCCGCCAACCUCUUCAAUACUAGAAGGAAUCAGAGCAAUUGCAACCAAUAAUCCAGCGGGAGCUCUCGUACUUGUAAUCAACUAUACCGGAGAUAGAAUCAACUUCGGACUCGCGGUAGAAAAAGCACGGAGCGAAGGUCUCAAGGUUGAAAUGUUUGUGAACGGCGAGGAUUGUUCUCUCACCACAGCAGACAAGACUGCAGGACGGAGAGGAUUAUGUGGAACCAUGUUUAUCUUCAAGAUCGUCGGAGCAAUGGCGGAGAGAGGAGACUCAUUGGAUUCCAUCCUAAAAGCAACCAGAUCAAUAUCAGCUAACAUGGGUACAAUGGGGUUAUCUCUAGGCCCUUGCAGCUUGCCAGGACAAGGGCCCCUGUUUAAAGUUGCAGAGGAUAAGAUAGAGAUGGGGUUAGGGGUUCACGGAGAGGCUGGAGUAGGAGAGGUUUCACAUACAACAGCAAACCUAGCGGUCAAACAGAUCAUUGAUCAUAUGACAAAGUCAGAUUCUGCUACGAGGAUUGAUUUGAGAGCGGGGGAGAAGGUUGCAGUAAUCUUGAAUAACCUUGGAGGAACCAGUAAACUAGAGGAGCUUAUCAUUGCAAGGGAGGUUGUCAUGCAGCUGGAGGGUCGGGGGUUCAAGGUGGUCAGAUUGUAUGCAGGACAUAUGAUGACCUCCCUAGAGAUGUCCGGGUUCCUUAUCAGCCUGCUCAAGGUUUCAGACAAUCUGGAGUGGUUGGAGUUGUUGGAUGCUCCGACCUCAGCUCCAGCCUGGCCGGCCAACCUAAUGUCGGAUAAUAAUCGCGACAGAUUUAACCCCGAACCUGUCGAGCCCUCUUCAAUAAAGGUUGAUGAUUGGAAGAUGACCGGAGUAAAGUUGAACGACGCUGCAGCAGUGAAGGUUCAAUCUAUCCUGGAGGAGGUUGCCCGAACCCUACAAGGGUUGGAGGCUAAGUUGAACCUGCUGGAUAGUGGAUCCGGAGACGGGGACUGCGGGUCAACCCAUGCUGUGGGAGCUAAAGCACUACUGGAAGGGUUGGCAGGCCUUGAUUGUAAUCAUCCCUGGAUACUCCUACAGCAGCUUGGAGUACUAGCGGAGAGGAUGGGAGGUUCCUCCGGUGGAGUUUAUUCUCUUCUCUUUACAGGAGCAGCCAGAGCUUUCCAGGAUCAAGUAGGAGGCGAGGUGGAUCCAUUGGCUUGGGUCAGGGCUCUUAGGUUUGGUUUGGAGACGGUUAUGAAGUAUGGAGGAGCUGAACCUGGAGAUAGAACCAUGAUCGAUGCCCUCUACCCGGCCCUCCUAGUCCUAGAGGAGACCGGGGGUAAAACCGGUUCUUUAACAGCAGCCGGUGAAGCUGCUCUGACCGGCGCGAAGAAAACGGCGACGAUGGUAGCUAGGGCUGGCAGGGCAAGCUAUGUGUCUAGAGAUAAGGUUUCUGAAGAGGACCCAGGAGCAGUUGCUGCAGCAGCUUGGUUUAAUGUUAUUACUAGUAACCUUUAAAGUUGCUCCCAAUCCCUCCUAGAACUGCUCCCAUGUCUCCUAGAGCUGCUCCGAUAUCUCUCAGAGCUGUUCACAUCCCACUCAGAGAUGCUCCCAAUACAUGGCAUUUUUCAAAUUGUACAAAUAUUGCUCUUGUUGGAGAUUUCGACUAUACCACUGUGUUUUUAUCAUUUUCAUAGGUGAUAAUUUUUGUUACGGUUUUAGAUUCAAGUUUUACCAAUUUUGCUAGAUUUUCUAUGACACGACAGAAUUAUACUUGUGAAGAAAAUAGGGAUUUGUUUGAAUUCUAUUUAUUAAAAAUUGCACUCUAAAGUUACCAACAAUUAAAACAGAAAGUUAAAGAUAAAUUUAAUAAAAACAUAGAUACAGUUUUAGAAAUUGUAUUUUCAUGACUACUUUGAACCUAAUUUUUAUAUUUUUAUUUUGAAGAUUAAAAAAGUGUAAUAAAUUCAUAGUCAUAAAGUUGACGAGAGGGCA